rnacentral:rRNA from 1 species
UACGUAGGGUGCGAGCGUUGUCCGGAAUUAUUGGGCGUAAAGAGCUUGUAGGCGGUUUGUCGCGUCUGCCGUGAAAUCCGGGGCUCGAACCCCGGACUUGCGGUGGGUACGGGGCGACUAGAGUGUGGUAGGGGAGACUGGAAUUCCUGGUGUAGCGGUGAAAUGCGCAGAUAUCAGGAGGAACACCGAUGGCGAAGGCAGGUCUCUGGGCCACUACUGACGCUGAGAAGCGAAAGCAUGGGGAGCGAACAGG